rnacentral:rRNA from 1 species
CCUACGGGAGGCAGCAGUAGGGAAUCUUCCGCAAUGGACGAAAGUCUGACGGAGCAACGCCGCGUGAACGAUGAAGGCCUUCGGGUCGUAAAGUUCUGUUGUUAGGGAAGAACAAGUGCUAGUUAAAUAAGCUGGCACCUUGACGGUACCUAACCAGAAAGCCACGGCUAACUACGUGCCAGCAGCCGCGGUAAUACGUAGGUGGCAAGCGUUGUCCGGAAUUAUUGGGCGUAAAGCGCGCGCAGGCGGUUUCUUAAGUCUGAUGUGAAAGCCCCCGGCUCAACCGGGGAGGGUCAUUGGAAACUGGGAAACUUGAGUGCAGAAGAGGAAAGUGGAAUUCCAAGUGUAGCGGUGAAGUGCGUAGAGAUUUGGAGGAACACCAGUGGCGAAGGCGACUUUCUGGUCUGUAACUGACGCUGAGGCGCGAAAGCGUGGGGAGCAAACAGGAUUAGAUACCCUGGUAGUCCACGCUGUAAACGAUGAGUGCUAAGUGUUAGAGGGUUUCCGCCUUUAGUGCUGAAGUUAACGCAUUAAGCNCNCNCGNGGNGNGNGNGAGANGAUAANAANAGAUUGUGNGNGNGNGNGCGAGNGACAGAGGAG